UACAGAGGGUGCGAGCGUUGCUCGGAAUCACUGGGCGUAAAGGGUGCGUAGGCGGGUUUUUAAGUCAGAGGUGAAAUCCUGGAGCUCAACUCCAGAACUGCCUUUGAUACUGAAAGUCUUGAGUAUGGGAGAGGUGAGUGGAACUGCGAGUGUAGAGGUGAAAUUCGUAGAUAUUCGCAAGAACACCAGUGGCGAAGGCGGCUCACUGGUCCGGUACUGACGCUGAGGUGCGAAAGCGUGGGGAGCAAACAGG
rnacentral:rRNA from 1 species